AGAGUUUGAUCCUGGCUCAGGAUGAACGCUGGCGGCGUGCAUAACACAUUCAAGUCGAACGAGGUAGCAAUACCUAGUGGCGGACGGGUGAGUAACGCGUGAGCAACCUGCCCUUGUGUGGGGGAUACCGUCUGGAAACGGACGUUAAUACCGCAUAACGUUACGGAAUCGCAUGGUUCUGUAACCAAAGAUUUAUUGCGCAAGGAUGGGCUCGCGUUGGAUUAGAUAGUUGGUAGGGUAACGGCCUACCAAGUCUGCGAUCCAUAGCCGGACUGAGAGGUUGAACGGCCACAUUGGAACUGAGAUACGGUCCAGACUCCUACGGGAGGCAGCAGUGGGGAAUAUUGGGCAAUGGGCGAAAGCCUGACCCAGCGACGCCGCGUGAAGGAAGAAGGUCUUCGGAUUGUAAACUUCUUUUAUUAGGGACGAACACAUGACGGUACCUAAUGAAUAAGCCACGGCUAACUACGUGCCAGCAGCCGCGGUAAGAGAGUCUGU
rnacentral:rRNA from 1 species